UUCCGGUUGAUCCCGCCGGACCUGACUGCUAUCGGAUUGAUACUAAGCCAUGCGAGUCAUUGUAGCAAUACAAGGCAGACGGCUCAGUAACGCGUAGUCAACCUAACCUAUGGACGGGAAUAACCUCGGGAAACUGAGAAUAAUGCCCGAUAGAACACUAUAUCUGGAAUGGUUUGUGUUCCAAAGGAUUUAUCGCCGUAGGAUGGGACUGCGGCCUAUCAGUUUGUUGGUGAGGUAAUGGCCCACCAAGACUAUUACAGGUACGGGCUCUGAGAGGAGUAGCCCGGAGAUGGGUACUGAGACACGGACCCAGGCCCUAUGGGGCGCAGCAGGCGAGAAAACUUUGCAAUGUGCGAAAGCACGACAAGGUUAAUCCGAGUGGUUUCUGCUAAAGGAACCUUUUGUCGGUCCUAGAAACACCGAUGAAUAAGGGGUGGGCAAGUUCUGGUGUCAGCCGCCGCGGUAAAACCAGCACCUCAAGUGGUCAGGAUGAUUAUUGGGCCUAAAGCAUCCGUAGCCUGCUUUGUUAGUUUUCGGUUAAAUCUAUACGCUCAACGUAUAGGCUGCCGGGAAUACUGCAAAGCUAGGGAGUGGGAGAGGUAGACGGUACUCGGUAGGAAGGGGUAAAAUCCUUUGAUCUAUUGAUGACCACCUGUGGCGAAGGCGGUCUACCAGAACACGUCCGACGGUGAGGGAUGAAAGCUGGGGGAGCAAACCGGAUUAGAUACCCGGGUAGUCCCAGCCGUAAACCAUGCAAACUCAGUGAUGCAUUGGCUUGUGGCCAAUGCAGUGCUGCAGGGAAGCCGUUAAGUUUGCCGCCUGGGAAGUACGUACGCAAGUAUGAAACUUAAAGGAAUUGGCGGGGGAGCACCACAAGGGGUGAAGCCUGCGGUUCAAUUGGAUU
rnacentral:rRNA from 1 species